AGAGUUUGAUCAUGGCUCAGAACGAACGCUGGCGGCAUGCCUAACACAUGCAAGUCGAACGAGACCUUCGGGUCUAGUGGCGCACGGGUGCGUAACGCGUGGGAAUCUGCCCUCUGGUUCGGAAUAACUCAGGGAAACUUGAGCUAAUACCGGAUAAUGUCUUCGGACCAAAGAUUUAUCGCCUGAGGAUGAGCCCGCGUCGGAUUAGCUAGUUGGUGGGGUAAAAGCCUACCAAGGCGACGAUCCGUAGCUGGUCUGAGAGGAUGAUCAGCCACACUGGGACUGAGACACGGCCCAGACUCCUACGGGAGGCAGCAGUAGGGAAUAUUGGACAAUGGGCGAAAGCCUGAUCCAGCAAUGCCGCGUGAGUGAUGAAGGCCUUAGGGUUGUAAAGCUCUUUUACCCGGGAUGAUAAUGACAGUACCGGGAGAAUAAGCCCCGGCUAACUCCGUGCCAGCCGCCGCGGUAAUUC
rnacentral:rRNA from 1 species